rnacentral:ncRNA from 2 species
ACUGCCACGGUCGCGUCAGGUUCCCCGAAAGGGGAUUGAAAGGGAACGGAGUGUGAAACUCCGGCUGUUCCCGCAACUGUAAGCGGCUAGCCCGCGCGUCAUACGCCACUGGCGGUCCGGAAGGCCACGGCCUGAACGACUUCUGGGAAGGCGACGCGCACCGGCCUUGAUCCGCGAGCCAGGAGACCUGCCUGUCGCCGUCGUUCUCC